CGGCCGCAUUACGAUGAAACAUAGGUUCCUGUACGAUCACCGAAGUUAAGCCACGUCGAGCUUGGUCAGUACCGAUAUGGGUAACCGCUUAGGAAAACCAUCUGUUGUAA